AGCGAACGCUGGCGGCAGGCCUAACACAUGCAAGUCGAACGAACCUUUCGGGCUUAGUGGCGGACGGGUGAGUAACACGUGGGGACGUGCCUUUAGGUCCGCUAUCACUCAGGGAAACUUGUCCUCAUACCGCAUGUGCUCUUCCCGGGAAAGAGUUGUCGCCUUUUGAGCGGCGGGGGUCUGAUUAGCUAGUUGGGUGCGGUAAUGGCUCUCCACGGCUAGUAUGAGUAGCUGGUCCGAGCGGAUGAUACGCCAGAUUGGGACUGAGACACGGACUACACUCGUACGGAAGAGAGGAGUAGGUAAUAUUGCGCGAUGGGGGAUGGCGUGACAAAGCCGUGCGGGGGGAAAGAUCAAGGUGGUAGGAUUGUGAAAUUCUUUCUCAGGGGACGAUAGUGACGGUACCCGGAGAAGAAGCCCCGGCUAACUUCGUG
rnacentral:rRNA from 1 species